rnacentral:lncRNA from 1 species
CCUCAAAGAGCACCCAGCAUAACUGUGGGAGAAUAGUAAGCAUUGGACACAAAAUGGAAAAGCUGACCUUCUGGUACGGAAGAGCAUGAGCAGUGAGUGAGCAGUGCCCAUGCGUUGUGAGGCGGCCUCCAUGGUAUAAGGUUUAGGCAAAUAAUGAUGAACAAAAAUGGUCAGUCUGUGUUCCUGCUGACCCAGCACAGUGGGGACGCUGUGUAGGACAUGACCUUUGGGGGAAAGGACACAAGAACUCAGCGUGGGGGAUCCAGAAAAGAAGUCGCACGUAUUGAAGCCAGUAACGCCAAGCCAGUGAAUUCUCCUUGACGAGAAAGACCCACUUACUCUGCAGAAGAGAUAUAUGACAGCUGACAAUCCCUGGAGGAGAAUCUUUCUACUAAAUUGUUGAAAACAUUCAAGUACGGAAUAAACUAUUACUGCGAAUACGCUCAUAUGACACAAGAACAAUCUCUGAGCUUCUUUGAGGAUGUCCAGAUGACUGCUGACUGCACUAAUUGCAUCAAUCGUGUAUCCAUACAGGUUCUUUCUAUAAAAUAGUGGUCGCUAGUUAUGAGGCGUUAAGCCUUCAUGGAUAUAAACAGACUAUUCCACCUAAGUGAUCUGGCAGAAGCUUAGUUUUCUACCACAACAUCCACCGUCCUCCCUCCCUCCCUUCCUAGCUGGUCAGAAAAGCUACUCAGAAUAAAGACUACAUUUCCCAGCCAUCUUUGCAGCUAGGUUUAUCCACCUGACUAAAUUCCACCG